CGUAGCAAAACCCGGUUUUGCUAAAGACCUAAACUCUUUCCACAGAAGUUCAAAUCUUCUCGCUAGCU
rnacentral:tRNA from 1 species